GAGUUUUCAAGGUAUCUUCAGUAGUAACAGCAUUCUGGAGCUGUUGUAUUCAUAUGCAGUGGAUUGCAAUGCUGAAUUGUUGAAAGCUUUGGAGAAUGACGAUGCAUGCAGUAGAAGUCGUAUGGGGUUCAGAUUGGAGCAAAUUCCACAAAUGAGGUCAAAUGUGUAUUGCUAGAAUGAUUAUUUAUGAGUAACAAGUUCUUUCUUCUUUAUACUUCACCUUGGGUAUGUUUAGAAUUCAAUGAAGAAGGGAAUGAGAACUUAAAUAUUACUUAAAGAAACAGAGAAAACUGUGGCAUUCCUAAAUUAUAUAUUGCUGCAUUUCCAUUUUUAUCAAAGAAAAAAAUAGCAUUCCAGAAUAAUAUUUUUGCUACGUUCCUAUUAUCACCAUUUUUUAUAAAAAAAGAUUUUACAUGCCUUAAAAAACAUAGCAUAGAUGUAGGCUAAAUUCAGUGUUUGCCGUUGGUUUUGUCAUAUGAAUUUGUGGGCUCUGUUGUCCGGGAUAUUCAUAUUUUUAAAUUAAAAGUUACAGAAUAAAUAAAUUAUCACCAUCAUCAUCAUUAUCAUCAUCAAUACCAUCAUCAACAUUAUGCUUAUCAUCAUCAUUGAAGAUGCUCAUAUUGUAGGUGUCAUAGAUUAGUGGUAAUUUGUAAUAUUUAGCCUCUCUGUUUGCUUUUCCAAGAAAUCAGUAUACUGUAUUAGAUUAGUAAAUACCGUUUCUUUUCGUCAAGAGUCAUUGCGCCUCGGAAUAGUAUAGUAGAUAGAUGGCGCAUUGUAAGUUCUGUUUUAUUAUUAAUAUAUAAUAUUAUUCAUACAGUAAUAUUGUGAAGCUACAAAAGAAAGCCUUUAGCAGCCAUGUAUUAUUAAAGAUCAGCUUAUAAAGAUGCUUGUAUUCCAAGGUACAAAAGAUAUGAAAUCCAACCUAUGUUUAACAAAUAUUCCAAAAAUUACAUAAAAAUAAGUUUUUUCGAUGAAAUUCUGGUGGAUGUUGUGCAAGUAGAAACUACAAGGUACAAGGUUUCACCAACAUUAUUUUUAAUGGAUUACGUAAAGCCCUCUCCAGACUGUCAAAAACAAUGACAUGCCUAAAUAUGGUCAUGAUGACAUCACAUUACGACCAUAUAUAGGCAUAUCACGACUAAAUAUGGACAUAUAACAGUUAUUUGUCAAAGGAUACUCUGGAAAGAGCUUUUAGAGUGAUGCUCUGAAGACAAAAAAAAAGUACCUGUGAUCUCUAAUCUGCUUUAUAAUAAAUACUCUGUAUUUGUAUAUAAAUAAUAAUUAUAUAAAAUAUAAUCAACUGCAUUGUGUAUAUAUUAAUAAUAAAGUAGAGCAUAUUAUAACAAACAUGAAGUCAGUUGAUUGUUAAAUUCUAACAUUGGGUAUUAACACCUUCGUAGCAAACAAAUCUUUUUUUAGAUAUUUUUUAUUUUAAUCAUUCUUAAUGUAAUUUAAUUCCAUUACCAUCCUUUUUGUUAUGUCUUACUCCUCCACCUACUGCAUACGAUCAAUAAAUAUAUGACUUUUCAAAGAUUUUAUACAAAGAUACAAUUGUUUAAACGUUUAAAGAAGGUGGACUAUUCCAUUAGAAGAGAAACCUAAUUAAUUUGUUCAUGAAAUAUCAAAUAACAACAAUCCAUUUUAGGCAUUGAAUAAAAUAAAAUUAAUGUAAUGGAAAGGUGCAAUGAAACGAGUAUCAUGAGUUAAAAUACUGACUAUUCUAUUCCAUUCAUUAUUUGUAUGAUAUUGCAUUUGCAUUUAUUGAGUGUUAAUCUUAAUAAAAUAACAAAACCCAUUUUAGGUAUAGAAUAAAACAAUUAAUGAAUGUUUAUAUUCAUGCAAUGGAAAGAAUAUAAUCAUUGAGUAAAAAAGGGACUACUAUUCUAUACCAUUCAUUAUUUGUAUGAUAUUGCAUUUGCAUUUAUUGAGUGUUAAUCUUAAUAAAAUAACAAGAAUCCAUUUUACUUAUGGAAUAAAACAAAUAAUGAAUGUUUAUAUUCAUGCAAUGGAAGAAAUAGAAUCAUUGAGUAAAAAAAGGGACUAUUCUAUUCCAUUCAUUAUUUGUAUGAUAUUGCAUUUGCAUUUAUUGAGUGUUAAUCUUAAUCAAAUAACAAGAAUCCAUUUUAGGUAUAGUAUAAGACAAACAAUGAAUGUAUAUAUUCAUGGAAUGGAAAGAAUAUCAUGAGUUGAAGAAGGGACUAUUCUGUUCCAUUCACUAUUUUUAUGUUAUCGCAUUUGCAUUGAGUGUUAAGCUUAUUCUUUGUAAAUACACAUGAGUAAACAAGCAUAUGUAUCCUAUUCAGUAUUUAAUCAGAUUUUUUAUUACGCUUGAAACAGCUUUUUAUAUAAUAUUUACAGUUUGAUGAGUACAAUAUAUAUAUUUUUUAGGCUAUAUAACCAACUUUAUAUGAAUAUGUAUAUGAUAUAUGAUUAGCUAUAUAUUACAAAUUGUAUUGUAGUUUUUUUAUAUUAAAAUAAAUAUAGAUAUAGAUUUAUAUGAAUGUUUUUAUUUUUCGUCAUGUAAUUUUCUUAAGAACAAAGUGCAGUAUGUAAGUUAAGGCCAAAUAAAAGAAAAAUAUAUUGUGUUGGCCAAGCCCCGAACGACCCAAAAUGUACGAAAUUGAGGUUCGGCAUUGUAGUUCUUUUUUUCUUUUGGCUACAAUGAAAAAUAUUUUUUUUAAUGAGCUAAAAUGCUCGAAAAGGCUUAUUUUGCUGGACGGUAGGUGAUGCGAAUGUUGUGCGAUUGUUUUGCUCUUCAAAAUAAAUUAAAAAAUGUUCUUUGUUGUAUUUUUGUGUAUUUUCUACUUUUUAGGUAUAAACACAUUUUUGGUUAAAAAGAAAAAAAAAAUUUUUCCUACAGACCUACCAAUAUUUUGGAUUUUCCUGAAACUUGGUUAACACAAGAAUUUAUUUUUUCUGGCCUAUUGGUUAUGGUAUUAGAAGGAAUGGUAGUACUGGGUUUUUUUUUGUUUUUUGUUUUGUUUUUUUGUUUUGUUUUUUGUUUGUUUUUUUUUUUUCUUUUUUUGUUGCUUCUCUUGUUUCUCCUCCAAGCUUCGGAUGAUAAACAAAUUUAAUAUAUUGUUAUUUGUUGUUGGUGCAACCACCUUUUUCACCUUUUAAAUAUUUAACAAUCUGUAAUUCACCAACCGUUUUUUUGUCAAACAUCCUUUUAGUGUCUUAGAAAAAUCAGUUGUACAAAAUACCAAAACAUUUUCCUAUCCAAAGCCUAGCUUUAAGGAUAUUUGUGGUUAAAAUUUUCAUUCUAGACUUUCUCUUUCGAAUAUUUCCUUCUACAGGGCAUUUCUAGAAUAGAUCUUUUUUAAUAAUGAAAAUAAGCUUUAUAUUCGAUUGUAAAACAUAAUUUGUGUUUUUAGUUAUACUGUAUAUCAUAUAAAUGCUAUUAUAUUAAUUGUGUAUUAUGCAAUAUAUUGAAUUAUUGAAAAAUAAAAUAAAAAAUAAAUAAAGAACUUGUCCUGGUGGGGAAUAUAUGUAGAUCACAUGAUAGUAACUUUGGUAUGGAGAAACACCUUCGCAAUUGAUAAGCUAAUUAUUUUAUUUUAGAAAAACAUCGGUAUUGGAACCAGUCAUGGAGGUACAAUCAUUCCAUUGAACCAUUCCUGGACGUUUUAGCGGAGCUAAUUAUUAUUAUUAUUCUGAAUAGAAUAUAUAAAUAAAAGAUUGUACUUUUUUGCUUCA